rnacentral:other from 1 species
CGGGGUCUGCAGCGUGCGGCAGGUACGCAUAGCCCCUGGGCCAAUAAACUCCUCUCGGGAGCUGUCCCUUGCCGGGACCGUGGUCUCGGCGAAACGGCACCCACCUGGUUAUCCAGGUCCAAGAGGCGCUUUCACGCCACCGGCGCCGUGGUCCCGCC